rnacentral:rRNA from 1 species
UGUAGAUAGUGGCGGACGGGUGGAGUAACGCGUGAGCAAUCUGCCCUAUACAGAGGAAUAGCCUCGGAAACCGGGAUUAAACCGCAUGAAACUUUAGUACCGCAUGGUACAGAAGUCAAAUUGAUUAAGAGGUAUAGGAUGAGCGUCGCGUCUGAUUAGCUAGUUGGUAGGGUAAAGGCCUACCAAGGCGACGAUCAGUAGCCGGCCUGAGAGGGUGAACGGCCACACUGGAACUGAGACACGGUCCAGACUCCUACGGGAGGCAGCAGUGGGGAAUAUUGCACAAUGGGCGAAAGCCUGAUGCCAGCGACGCCGCGUGAGUGAAGAAGGUCUUCGGAUCGUAAAACUCUGUCCUUGGUGAAGAAAGAAAUGACGGUAGCCAAGGAGGAAGCCCCGGCUAACUACGUGCCAGCAGCCGC